rnacentral:rRNA from 1 species
AAGGUAGCGAAAUUCCUUGUCGGGUAAGUUCCGACCUGCACGAAUGGCGUAACGACUUCCCCGCUGUCUCCAACAUAGACUCAGUGAAAUUGAAUUCCCCGUGAAGAUGCGGGGUUCCUGCGGUCAGACGGAAAGACCCCGUGCACCUUUACUAUAGCUUCACACUGGCAUUCGCCAAGGCAUGUGUAGGAUAGGUGGUAGGCUUUGAAACUCUCACGCCAGUGGGGGUGGAGCCAUCCUUGAAAUACCACCCUUAUCUUCGUGGAUGUCUAACUGCGGUCCGUUAUCCGGAUCCAGGACAGUGUGUGGUGGGUAGUUUGACUGGGGUGGUCGCCUCCAAAAGAGUAUCGGAGGCUUCUAAAGGUACCCUCAGAACGGUUGGUAAUCGUUCGUAGAGUAUAAUGGCAUAAGGGUGCUUGACUGAGAGACAUACAAGUCGACCAGGUACGAAAGUAGAGCAUAGUGAUCCGGUGGUUCCGCAUGGAAGGGCCAUCGCUCAAAGGAUAAAAGGUACUCCGGGGAUAACAGGCUGAUACCGCCCAAGAGUUCAUAUCGACGGCGGUGUUUGGCACCUCGAUGUCGGCUCAUCACAUCCU